rnacentral:rRNA from 1 species
AUUGAACGCUGGCGGAAUGCUUUACACAUGCAAGUCGAGCGGCAGCACGGGGGCAACCCUGGUGGCGAGCGGCGAACGGGUGAGUAAUACAUCGGAACAUGCCCAGUCGUGGGGGAUAACACUUCGAAAGAAGUGCUAAUACCGCAUACGUCCUGAGGGAGAAAGCGGGGGAUCUUCGGACCUCGCGCGAUUGGAGUGGCCGAUGUCAGAUUAGCUAGUUGGUGGGGUAAAGGACUACCAAGGAAACGAUCUGUAGCUGGUCUGAGAGGAUGAUCAGCCAUACUGGGACUGAGACACGGCCCAGACUCCUACGGGAGGCAGCAGUGGGGAAUUUUUGACAAUGGGGGCAACCCUGUUCCAGCCAUUCCGCGUGAGUGAAGAAGGCCUUCGGGUUGUAAAGCUCUUUCGGCAGGAACGAAACGGCGAGCUCUAACAUAGCUUGCUAAUGACGGUACCUGAAGAAGAAGCACCGGCUAACUACGUGCCAGCCGCCGCAGUAAUAC